AUUGAACGCUGGCGGAAUGCUUUACACAUGCAAGUCGAACGGCAGCACGGACUUCGGUCUGGUGGCGAGUGGCGAACGGGUGAGUAAUGUAUCGGAACGUGCCCAGUCGUGGGGGAUAACGUAGUGAAAAUUACGCUAAUACCGCAUACGAUCUAUGGAUGAAAGCGGGGGAUCGCAAGACCUCGCGCGAUUGGAGCGGCCGAUAUCAGAUUAGGUAGUUGGUGGGGUAAAGGCCUACCAAGCCAACGAUCUGUAGCUGGUCUGAGAGGACGACCAGCCACACUGGAACUGCGACACGGUCCAGACUCCUACGGGAGGCAGCAGUGGGGAAUUUUGGACAAUGGGCGGAAGCCUGAUCCAGCCAUUCCGCGUGAAGGAUGAAGGCCCUCGGGUUGUAAACUGCUUUUGUACAGAACGAAAAGGUUUCUACUAAUACUAGGAGCUCAUGACGGUACUGUAAGAAUAAGCACCGGCUAACUACGUGCCAGCAGCCGCAGUAA
rnacentral:rRNA from 1 species